rnacentral:rRNA from 1 species
GCUUACGGCCAUACCACCUUAGGCACGCCCGAUCUCGUCUGAUCUCGGAAGCUAAGCAGGGUCGGGCCUGGUUAGUACUUGGAUGGGCGACCGCCUGGGAAUACCAGGUGCUGUAAGCA